GAUGAACGCUGGCGGCGUGCCUAAUACAUGCAAGUCGAGCGAACAGACGAGGAGCUUGCUCCUCUGACGUUAGCGGCGGACGGGUGAGUAACACGUGGAUAACCUACCUAUAAGACUGGGAUAACUUCGGGAAACCGGAGCUAAUACCGGAUAAUAUAUUGGACCGCAUGGUUCAAUAGUGAAAGACGGUUUUGCUGUCACUUAUAGAUGGAUCCGCGCCGCAUUAGCUAGUUGGUAAGGUAACGGCUUACCAAGGCAACGAUGCGUAGCCGACCUGGGAGGUGGUUCUGCCACACUAGAAGCGAGAGAAGGGCCAGACUCCCUAGGGAGGCAGCAGUAGGGAAUCUUCCGGAAUGGGCGAAGACCUGACAGAGCAACGCCGCGUGGGAGAUAAAGGUUUUCGGAUCGUAAACCGCUGUUAGUAGGGAAGAACAAAUGUGUAAGUAACUAUGAACGUCUUGACGGUACCUAAUAAGAAAGCCACGGCUAACUACGUA
rnacentral:rRNA from 1 species